rnacentral:rRNA from 1 species
GGGGGGGGGGACAACAGUUGGAAACGACUGCUAAUACCGCAUAAUGUCUACAGACCAAAGGGGGCUUCGGCUCUCGCCUUUAGAUUGCCCCAAGUGGGAUUAUCUAGGUGGAGAGGUAAUGGCUCACCAGGGACACUAUCCCUAUGUGGUUUGAGAGGAUGAUCACCCACUGUGGGACUGACACACGGCCCACACUCCUACGGGAGGCAGCAGUGGGGAAUAUUGCACAGUGGGCGCAAGCCUGAUGCACCCAUGCCGCGUGUGUGAAGAAGGCCUUCGGGUUGUAAAGCACUUUCAGUCGGGAGGAAAGGUUAGUAGUUAAUACCUGCUAGCUGUGACGUUACUGACAGAAAAAGCACCGGCUAACUCCGUGCCAGCAGCCGCGGUAAUACGGAGGGUGCGAGCGUUAAUCAGAAUUACUGGGCGUAAAGCGUACGCAGGCGGUUUGUUAAGCGAGAUGUGAAACCCCCGGUCUCAACGUGGGAACUGCAUUUCAAACUGACAAACUAGAGUGUGAUAGAGGGUGGUA